rnacentral:lncRNA from 1 species
GAUUCAACAAAGAUGAUGCUUUAUUGUGAAAAUAGAAUGUUCACCUUGUCUUCUGACAUCAUAAAGACCACCCACAUUUGCACAGAUGCUGCUGCUAUAGUACUUUCAGGCAAGGCCAAGGCUUCUUGAAAGGCUGGUCAUGCCCCAGUGAUCAAUGAAGAACUCAGGGAUAUCCCAAAACUCAGGACUGUAAGACCAUAAUGGAUGGAUAUAUAGGCUGACCUACUAUCCCCAGCUUCCCAGAAUGGCUGUUGUGUCUCUUCCAUAACCAGGACAUUGAGGGAGAAGCUUUGCUCAAGCCAACUCAUAAUGUGAAUGGUAAAAAGUAAAAACAAAAUGCAAAGCCCGAAUAAGAGCAAUGACCACCUCGCCUAACAGACCUGUUGCUGCACACAACGUGCAUGACUGCUCUCUCUGGGGGAGGGCGACCAGAUUAAUUACCCACAAGUGUGUUGACUCAAAGCGUUUGUCAUUAAAUCUGUGCUGAAUAAAUGCCCGCAGGGCCAGCUAGUCAGGGCGCAUGGCUGCCACAAAUCUUUCUGUGCACGGCCGGGCUUCCUAGCUGCUCUUUCACUGAAUAUCAGUGUCUGAGUGUGUUAUUCAUCCAUCAUGCAGCCUGGGUCUGUGGGUCAGACCCCCGCAUUUCUGUGUCCACUGCUAACAUCUAACUUCAAGAAAUGAUGGAAGGUCACACUUUGGAGCUUCUCUAUGUGCUUGUAUGAUCUCAGUAUAGAAUGCUGGGGCCCUUCUAUUACUCCAUGCACCGGGGAAGAACUAGAAUUGUGAGAAGAGCUUUCGCGCUCCCAUAACCAUUCCUUGGCCCACCUCCAAGAAAAUGUAAAUAACAAGAGCUGCCUAUAAAUCUACCUCAGAAGACAAAGGGAAAAGCAAAACUCUGCCCAGGAAGACCUUACUUUACAAACCACUCAACCAUAUUUACCAGCCUUCCUGUGGUCAUUUGUCUGAGCUCCAGCUAGUGAAGUAUGAGUAGAACGGACAUGCACCACUUCCAGACCUGGCACCGGCAAACCACCCAUGGCAACCCUCCAACCCUUUCCUCAACAACUGGACCACGCUGGAAAGGACUGAGGAUCUAGAGGAGGACAGGGCUGUAAUAUGGAAGGAGUUUGGUUUCUGAAGGACCAUGUAGCAGGCCACCUGCAGGGCGGGAACAUCUUUAAUAGGUUUGGAAUAGCAAGAAAUAAACUGGU